GCGACAGGAGGCCCCCGGUCUCUCGCUGAUUGGACGAGCCGGAGAGGAUGGAGCAGGAGGCAGGAGAGAAGAGGGAGCCGGAGAAGCCUGAGCUUACCGGUCUGCUGUCAGAGCCAGGGUCACCCCAGGGUUCCUGUCGCCCGCCCCAGUCAGCAUGAAGUGGAGGUUUCCCUGCACAGCCGCCAGGGAAGAGGCCUCUCCGGGCCCCAGGGCUCCCAUGGACACCAGAAUGUGGCGCCAGCGCCCCUUGGCACCAGCUACUCACUACUCUCCCUGCCUCCCCGCCUGUGGCCCCACUCCCCACAGCUCCAUUAGGAGUGGGAAGACCUGGCCGGCCCGCCUCAGGGUGCUCUCUGUCCCCUCUCAGCCCAAGCUAAGGCAGGCGGAAGUGGCCAUUCGGGGAAGACAGCAUCCUUUCACCAAGAGCAGUUUGGGGCACUUGACCCCCCCCGGGAAUUACCGUCAGCCCAGCCACCCAGCCUUUCGGGAUUACCACCGUGGGAGUGCGUGAAGGUGGGGGGUGGAGCCACUGUGGCUCCAGAGAUGGCCUCCAGUUGGCUCAGAUGGGAGAGGAGGCAUGGGAGAGAGGGGCCCCCCAACUUACCAAGACCUCCUGGGGGGCAGUGCUGACUGGGAGUGCAGGUGGGGAGCGGUGGGGGGGGACAGGGAGGAACAGAGACUCAGGCAGGGGUUCAGGCCCAGAGGCCCCGACCCAGCCCCAUGUGGGCCCUUGGUACCUAUGGAGCGGGAGGGGGGCGGCGCCCCUGCCUGUUGCCACUCCGUGGCCUCGGCAGCCAGGCGCCUGAUGUAAGCGUCCCCCACACACAGCAAGAUGUUCUCGGGCUUGAUGUCCGUGUGGAUGAUCUUGCACUUGGUGUGGAGGUAGUCCAGGCCGUGCAGCACCUGCAGAGAGUCGCACCUGACCUCCUCCAACUCCCGCCCAGGCCAGGCUGGGCAGCCCAGUGGGUGGCACUCACCUGCCUCACGAUGCUCUUCACGCAGGGCACGGGCAGGCCCUGGUAGUUGGACUUGAUGAUCCAUUUGAGGAGCUGGUGGCCCAGCACCUCCAGCACCAUGCACACAUCUGGGCUGGGAGUGAAGGGCGGCCAGUGGACACCAGCUGCGGCACAGGCCCCACCCACCCUCAGCUAGGGGAGCAGCAAGGCUUGGGCCGUGUGGAGGUGGGGAGGCAGGGCCUCCCCUGGGCAGUCCUGGUCACCAUUAUGCUGGUGUCAUCAUCGAUAGUGUCCCUGUCAGUCUCAACAGGUAUGCCAGUUGGGAUGGUGCAUUUUGUGGUCAUCCUAGAGGUGGCGCUGGAGGAGCAGGCACAGAGGCCUCUCGGGCCAGCCCACUCCCAUGCUAGUUAUGCCAUAGGGCCUCUUGGCAGUCCCCCAAAGGGAAGGCAGUGCCACAGAGACAGCACCUGCCGUUUGGGGAUAAUAGCAACGUCCAUGGACAAUCAACGCUAGCUUGUUACUGCCUCCACGUAAACACAGUUACCUGGGGGCGGGGUCGUGCCAGAGGCUCCCGUUACUGGGAGGGAUGCAAGCCCAUUGUGCGGGUCUGCAGACAGGCUCUAGCAGCGAGGGCCCCCCCAUUUGCCGGCCCUUGGCUGCCACACUGCUUUGCUCUUCCUGCAAAGGAUACGGACUCCAUUGACUCCUGAGAUCCUGAAGUCAUCAAUGAGCUGGACAAUGGUCUCUCUUUUGGGGUCACUGGGGUCGCUGUCCCGGACCUGGAGCAAAAGCCAAGGGGCCACAGAUGGUUCCACCCUGCCCUGAAGCCCACAGCUCCCUUCAGUGUACCCUUCUCCUGCUCCAGCUGGGCCCUGCUGGAAGAAAGGCCGCCAACCCCUCCUGUCCCUCGCCUGUUCCUCCAGAUCCUCCCCCUUGGGCACAGCCAGCUGGAGGCUGCCCCUCAGGGAGCCCCGCCCUGCCCCACAGAGCCCCGGCAGGCCUUGCACCCGCAUUGCCAGGCCCCAGGCAGCUCCAGGGGAGCUGGGAGUGGGGUAGGGAGGUGCCUCACACAUUUCAGGAGCUUGAUCUCAUCCACAGCUGUCUCCGUGUAAUGCCCCGCACUCUUCACCACUUUGAGGGCCACAAAGCGCUUGCGCCUGCAAUACCGAGACCCUUGUAGGCUGUGGCCCUGGCAGGACCCACGGCGGGGAUCAGGGUGGCCCCAAGCAAGCCCAGGGACAGGAUCCCAGCCAGUGCUGGGCCCCGGAGGCGAAGGAGGCACUCACUGGAUGUCCCAGCAGAGCCAGACGGUGGAGAAGUGGCCCCAGCCCAGUUUGCGCACCACGUGGUACCGCCCAUUGAACACGUCGCCGAUCUUCACAGGGUGGUAGCCGCCUGCCCAGGGGAGAUGUAGAUUGGGGUGGAGGGGGUUCUCACUCCCCUGGGCCCCCGAACACCUCGGCCCCAUUGACCAUCUGGCCCAUGUGGGCCCAGGACUGCCCUGGGUCCCUGCAGUGGCCGUGAGGCCGCAUGUCCCCAAGGCCAAGUCUCACCCUUGCAGUAGUCUUUGGGGUCUUCCUGUUCCUCGUCGUCGGAGCCCAGAAGGCCCUGCAGCAUCUGAGGCACCGGUGUGGCCAGGGCUAGUUCGGAGCCCGAGGACUCGGGCCCGCAGGAGGCCUGUGAGCUGCGGGUGGGGUGAGUGGCAGUGGGCAUGAGAGACGCCAGGGGCUCCGGGUGCCCCAGCCGAGCCCUACCUGCUGCUACUGCCGCCGCUGCCGCCGCUGUCCCCACCACCGCCCGUGCUGGCGCUCAUCCCGGCCACGCAGCCCGCAGCUCCGGUGCCCCGGGCGGCUGCUCCUGUGGGGCCCGGCCGCGGCCUGCGAAUUUAUAGCCUUGGCCGGCCGCUGAUCUCACCCGCCUUUAUAAAUAGCCUCCCAGCUGCUCGGCUGUGGGCAAGGUAUGCGGUGCGGGGAGGGGGCGGCGCGACGGCGGCCCCAGAGAGCCCGGCCCCCGGGCAGAGGCCCCCCUCCUGCUCCAGGCCCACCCUGGAGGCAGAGGGGGCUGCUGCUUGGGGACCAGGGGCAACUGGGCCCCCAGGCUGAGCCUCCGCACCCCAGCUGAGGGGGAGGUCCACGCGGGGGUGAAGCAGCCCGUACCCCAGGUCGGGCUCCCGUUCUCCGGUGCGGACUGUGGGGAUGUGCUCCACUUGGCAACCUGGUCCUUAGGCCAAGCCCCCACCACCUGUGCCCCUGUGGGCAUCCUCCUGGAGGUGCCCUUCUCAUUCCCAUGGGAACCCUGUCCCUGGCUGCUCCCAGCCACUUCCUGCUUCUUCUAUGUUUCAUCAGCCCCUAGGACAACUGGGAGUCCAGUGCCCUCUGAAUGUGGCGUCACUGGGGACCCCUCAUUUCCCCUACCAGAGGCAACAGGCCUGCUGAGGGGAGGCCUGGGAGCUUGCCAGCCCAGAACCUGCUCCUGCGACGCUGCCUGGCGCUCUGGCUCCCAGCGCCUGCUCUUCCUCUCCACCAUUUGCAAGGUGCCUGUCGUGGGCUGCUCCAUAGCCAGACAUGAGGGAGGCAGCAGGAAGCUGCUCACUGCUGGGGACAAGCAAGCCCAUAGCCACUUCCCCAUGAGUGCGGUGGUGACUGAGGGGCCUGUGACCCAGGGGCUGCAUCAUGAGAGACCAGGAGAAAUUGGGUCCCCAGAAGCAUCCAGGGCAGCACAGGGCACAGUGGGGCAAGGCCUGCGGCCAAGACGCGUUCCAGCCCUUCACGUGCUGGCCACGGCUGCCGCAUGGUUCGAGGGCGAGGACUAGAGGCCUGGUGUCUGUAGGCUUAAUGUGGAGCUUGGGUGAUAUGGGGUUGGGGGGUGGUCACUGAGCUUCUGCUCAGCAAAAGAUCACUCUGGCCACUUCAAGGACAAGGGAAUGGAGAGGCGAGGGUGGAGCCGGGAGGCCAGCUGGGGCCUGACAGAGGAGUCCCAAUGAAAGGGAGGGGGCUCGGCAGAGAGGGUGUUUGUCCCAAGAUAUUGGUGCAGUGUCCCUGUACCAGGGUCCGUGAACUGGUAGGGGUGGGCCAGGCAUUGCUGGAGGGGCCAGCGAGGUCAGAGAGUGGGAGGGAAAGUGAAGCCCGGGUACCUGAUGGCCUCUCUUUGUCUGUGGGUAGCAGGUUAUAGGCAUGGGGCUGAGGGACUCUCAGUCAGGAGAGCACUGAGUCAGCUCCUGCAGGGAACAGCAGGGGCUGGGGAUUGGGCCCUUUGUCAAAAGACAUUUCUGGCCAGGCGCGGUGGCUCAUGCCUGUGAUCCCAGCACUUUGGGAGGCUGAGGCGGGCAGAUCACCUGAAGUCAGGAGUUUUGAGACCAGCCUGUCCGACAUGGGGAAACCCUGUCUUUACUAAAAAUACCAAAAUUAGUCGGGUGUGGUGGCACACGCCUGUAGUCCCAGCUACUCGGGAGGCUGAGGCAGGAGAAUUGCUUGAACUCCGGGAAAAAGAGGUUGCAGUGAGCCGAGAUUGCGCCACUGCACUCCAGCCUGGGAGAGAGAGCGAGACUCCGUCUCAAAAUAAAAUAAAAAGACAUAUUUCUAUUUUA